AUAACAAUACAGGACUCUUUCGAGGCCCUGUUAUUGGAAUGAGUACACUUUAAAUCCUUUAACGAGGAUCUAUUGGAGGGCAAGUCUGGUGCAGAGCGACUGACCCGUGCGUGCUGCAGCUGAAA